GUGAAAGUCUGCCACCACAGACAGAGCCCUCCCUUCUCUUUGAACUACUGAGGAGCUGGGGGGCGAGCCUGAGGCGCUGCGUUCUCAUCAACUUUGAGAGGUGGAUACCGGGGCUUCCUUGGAGAGCUUCUGGUGUGGAUUCUCAUCAUUAAGUUGAAAGAGUCAUAAGUACGUAAAAGAAAAAGCGCACGAGGCAGUGCAUGUGUCUGGCUGGUGACAGUGAUGGACUGGUCAGAUCAAGGUAAAUGAACAUGAAAGUUAAAGGCUGACAACUUUCUAUUUUUUAGCCUAAAUUAUAGAUGUAUAUAUUUGUUGUUAUCAUUUGUUUAUGUCAAAUAUUUUAAUCACGACUUCAAGUCGACCUUAGAACCUUAUAACUACUGGGUAUCCAGAACAGUGGCUGGCACGAACGGGGUGCUGAAUAAAUAUUUGCCGACUGAAGGCAUGCAUGAACGAGCGUCUCUGUAUUUAUUCUCAUACAGUCCUUAAAAAA
rnacentral:lncRNA from 1 species